AGCAGCGUGGCUCAGUGGAAAGAGCAUGGGCUUGGGAGUCAGAGAUCAUGGGUUCGAAUCCCGGCUCUGCCA
rnacentral:tRNA from 1 species